UUGGAGUCCCAGACUCAGAGGCUUAAAACUCACGACAGGCCUUGAUCAUUUAAAAAAAAAUAUGAUGAGACAGAAUGCAUAGGCACCUUAAAGUGACUUACUCCAUCUGACCAAGAGGUCUCCUAAUGAGUUAUGUUUAUAUUACUCUUUAAAUGGUACCUACUGCUAAAGUACAACCGAAACGUUUUUGUGCUUUUGUGCUGAGGUUAAAAUAUACCAAGAAUAAAGGUAGCAAAGGUUUGGAAUAUUCAGUUGAUCUCCAAGGAUAUUGUGAAAUCCUAGUUCUCCAGCAU